AACAAAAUGACAUUGAUUCUUCCAGCUUUGUUUCCCAGCAGAUGGAUUAAAGAGAAAAUAAAUCUAUAUUUAUAAACAUAGCCACAAAACUCACAUUAGGUUUUAAAAGUAAAGCAUCUCCUCUUCCUGAGACCCCAGCCAGAGCUGUUUCUAAGCUAUUACAUUUUAUUUCAUUACUACAGGCAACAGGAAAGCAUCUAGAAGUUCUCUAUGUUCUUCUCCAGACACCAGGGGGGAUAAAAAGCGCAGAAUUUGCACUCACCUUGAUAGAAACAAACGAAGACUAAUUGCACUGAAGUCCAACAGUGGAAGAACAGCAUGACAUGGACCACAGCCCUGUGACAUUACAAGCGUGUAUUACAGCUGCCAGAUGGGCUCAGCUGACUCAUGCUCAGGAUCACUCCGACCAGCAGAUGUGAGGCUGCUCUCGGUAAACAACCUGAGAUUCCAGCAGCUGAAUGUCAAAGCAGAAGGCAUGGGGAGCAGCUCUUCAGAUCCCUGCUGAGCCCUCACCUCUGCUGCAGACCAGGCACCACCUGCUGCUGCUGCAGUCUCUCACUCAUCUAGUCCCAACCUUACUGUGUUUCUU
rnacentral:lncRNA from 1 species